rnacentral:rRNA from 1 species
CCUACGGGUGGCAGCAGUGGGGAAUAUUGGGCAAUGAGCGCAAGCCUGACCCAGCAACGCCGCGUGAAGGAAGAAGGCUUUCGGGUUGUAAACUUCUUUUCUCAGGGACGAAGAAAGUGACGGUACCUGAGGAAUAAGCCACGGCUAACUACGUGCCAGCAGCCGCGGUAAUACGUAGGUGGCAAGCGUUAAUCGGAAUUAUUGGGUGUAAAGGGCGUGUAGGCGGGGGCGUAAGUCAGAGUGUAAAACUCAGGGCUCCAACCUGGGCCUGCAUUGGAAACUGUGUUUCUAGAGUGCGAGAGAGGCAAGCGGAAUUCCGUGUGUAGCGGUGAAAUGCGUAGAUAUACGGAAGAACACCAGUGGCGAAGGCGGAUUGCUGG